AAUGAACGCUGGCGGCGCGCCUAAUACAUGCAAGUCGAGCGAGAAGACGUAGCAAUACGUUUGUAAAGCGGCGAACGGGUGAGGAAUACAUGGGUAACCUACCCUAGAGUGGGGAAUAACGUAGCCGAAAGGUUAGCUAAUACCGCGUACGCUCCUUGGACUUCGGUUCAGGGAGGAAAGCGAUGCCGAGGGUAUCGCGCUCUUGGAUGGGCUCAUGUCCUAUCAGCUUGUUGGGAGGUAACGCUCACCAAGGCUUCGACGGUAGCUGGUCUGAGAGGACGAUCAGCCACACUGGCACUGCGACACGGGCCAGACUCCUACGGGAGGCAGCAGUAAGGAAUAUUGCGCAAUGGGACGAAAGCCUGACGCAGCGACGCCGC
rnacentral:rRNA from 1 species